GGUCUCGUAGCUCAUUUGGUGGAGAAUGCGUGUACAAAGUGUAAGCGGCAUCCAUGCCUGGUGGGUUCGAAUCCCACCGAGGCUA
rnacentral:tRNA from 1 species